AGAGUUUGAUCAUGGCUCAGGAUGAACGCUAGCGACAGGCCUAACACAUGCAAGUCGAGGGGCAGCACAAGGAGUAAUCUGAGGUGGCGACCGGCGCACGGGUGAGUAACACGUAUGCAACCUACCUGUAAGAGGGGAAUAACCCGGAGAAAUCCGGACUAAUACCGCAUAAUACUGUUUUUCUGCAUGGAAAGACAGUUAAAUAUUUAUAGCUUACAGAUGGGCAUGCGUAUGAUUAGCUGGUUGGUGAGGUAACGGCUCACCAAGGCAACGAUCAUUAGGGGUUCUGAGAGGAAGGUCCCCCACACUGGUACUGAGACACGGACCAGACUCCUACGGGAGGCAGCAGUGAGGAAUAUUGGUCAAUGGGCGAGAGCCUGAACCAGCCAAGUCGCGUGAAGGAAGACGGUUCUAUGGAUUGUAAACUUCUUUUGUAAGGGAAUAAAGUUCGGUACGUGUACCGUUUUGUAUGUACUUUACGAAUAAGGAUCGGCUAACUCCGUGCCAGCAGCCGCGGUAAUACGGAGGAUCCAAGCGUUAUCCGGAUUUAUUGGGUUUAAAGGGUGCGUAGGCGGACCCAUAAGUCAGUGGCGAAAGUUUGCAGCUUAACUGUAAAAUUGCCAUUGAAACUGUGGAUCUUGAGUGUAAAUGAGGUAGGCGGAAUGUGUUGUAGCGGUGAAAUGCUUAGAUAUAACACAGAACACCAAUUGCGAAGGCAGCUUACUAGAAUACAACUGACGCUGAGGCACGAAAGCGUGGGGAUCAAACAGGAUUAGAUACCCUAGUAGUCC
rnacentral:rRNA from 1 species